rnacentral:lncRNA from 1 species
GCCCUGCAUCCUACAUCAUGCUCUCAUGUCCAAAAACAACAGUACAGUAACACCACUAUGUCCUAUUAAUGUCCUUAAAGGUUUGUACAGAGAGUCUUGUGGUGGUUUUUAAUCCGAAGUAUUUGGGAGAGGCGACUUCGCUCUACUACGUCAUUGUUGGAACGCGCUCAGUUUCCGGGUGUGGAAACCUGCAGCCAGGCUCGUGCCAUUGCAUUGCUUCGGUUCUCACGGAUUUUAGUGGUGGUCUACGCAUUCCUACGCUUCUGUGAGCCCCUUCACUAUACAAAAGGAAAUAUGGUUCCUACAGCAGGUGCCCAUCUGACCUAAAAUAAAGGUACACGGUGACAUGUGAGGUUGUCA